rnacentral:tRNA from 1 species
ACCUGGCUGGCUCAGUCAGUAGGGCAUGAGACUCUUGAUCUCAGGGUUUUGAGUUCAAGUCCCACACUGGGCA